rnacentral:lncRNA from 1 species
UCAAACAGGCCUUAAAUGACAUGAGUCUAGAUGAAGGUGAAUCCCUUAUGAACUAUUGAAAGCAAUUUAGUGCUAAGUUGAUUCCCGGUGGAACGACUUGCUAGUGGAGACUCUUUUCUGGUGGGAUGUUCUUAACAAGAAUCCAAACUCCUACCACCAUCUUGUAAGCCUGAUAAAAAAUGAAAUCCAGAUAGAGGAUGCCAUAUAGAACCGAAUGAAGAUAGAUUAGGGCGAUCGCUCAAGGGAAAAUCUUUGACAUACGCACCUGGAUUGCCAAAGCAUCAGUACCCACGCUUCUUCAGCUUUCUUAAUAAUCGCGAAGGCAAAAUACAUGUGAUCUUUCUAGCUUCCUCGUAAGCAGAAGGUGAAGCACUUCUAUCCCCUAAAUAUCGAAAGGUAAAACUUUGUAAAAUUUAUUGUAGCAGGAACAUGACAUGGACAAAUGCUUAACGAUAAAUCAAGAGUGUAAACCUAUAAAUUUAGUAGGUUGGGAUGCACAAGGGUUUUGAAAGUCGAAAGCCUUCAUACCCAAGCGGAGAGGGGGAGAUUGUGAAGGUAAAUCAAGGUAGACAAAUUCAUUGUGAGCAUUGACAGGCAACCACACUACCACCACUUGUGAAAGAGAUCUAUCCUAGUAAUAGAAGGUCCCCAUGUUAACGGGAAAAUAAUGAAUGCACAACAGAAUUAUGCUUGAACUGCUAACAAGCCUACCCAGAAAAACUUUUGGAUCUGAGACAAUCCUCAAACUGCUUCUCUUCCAAUUACGUUUAAUAGUGACGAUAAGUAGGGAAUCC